rnacentral:tRNA from 1 species
GGGUCGGCGGUUCAGUUGGUAGAGCAGUUGACUUUUAAUCAAUUGGUCGCAGGUUCGAAUCCUGCACGACCCACCA